rnacentral:lncRNA from 1 species
AUGGAUAACGGCUCGAAGGUAGCCACAGGUAUUGUCAGGUAAGGCUUUAAACAAAUAAAAUAAGCUUCUUUGUAUACCAGUAAUAUAUAUUCACAAGUGUACCAGCCAUGGGCACUACUUGAUUUAAUACACAAAAAGAAGUACCUAAUAGACUCGAUCUAAAAACAAAUAACGAAACACGGUCUUUGAUGAACCAAGAGUUCGAUGAAUACAACACACACUCUCUCUUUUUCGGUAGUCACAUGAAGAGCUGCAGCUUAUUAUUCUCAAAACAUAUUGAGAUAUCAAACACUCCAAAAGUAAAAGAAGAUAAGAUAAUAAAUCACUCUAUACAUAAGCUUAACACAAACGCUGCAAGAGUAAAAGAUAAUACGAUAAUAAAUCACUCUAUACAUCUUAACACAAACUUCAGAUAGCCUCAUCAUUAAACAAACUGACAGGUGUAAUUGACAACACGCAUUACAAACAAUACUCGUAAUCCAAAGCCCAGUCUCCUCUCCUGUUUUUCAUAUUAUCAGAUAUCUCACCAUUCAAAAUUUUCUUCCUCUUGAUAUUUAUGCGUUUCAAUAUUAUCACUUGACAUAAAGUAAGAAUGUUCGAUAACACAAUGCAACCCAAAGAAAAAGAGUUGCCGAAGGUGUAGGGAGAUUUGGUGUAUAUUUGACCUGCAAUUGCACCAGAUAAAUUCCCUAAAGUUUGGUUUAGUCCUAAAGCAGUUGCACGCUUAUAAUGAGGGGCCAUGUUAUUGGUCAACCACGAUAUAUUAAGCCCAGUACCGGUGUAAAGAGAGAACGUUAUUAAAUAGCAGGCGAAGUAUUUGACAGCGUCGUUGCCUACACUCAGUAAUAAAAUGUACCCCACAAUGCCUAGUAGAUUGUAGCAAAAGAAAAUGGGACCUCUCAUUUUGAACCUGUCACUCAGAAAGGCUGAAAUUAAAAACACGACACCAGCUAAGAUGUACACAGGUACACUCAAGUACUGGGCCUGCAUGGAGGAAAAACCUAAUCCCAUUUUGAGAAUGGCAGUAAGAAAAGUGCUAAAUCCAUACAUUAUUGUGUCCUGACAAAAUUGUAUCGUGAAAGAAAGGUAUGUUUUGAAAUCUAAAAACGCAUCCUUCACGCAUGACCAGCUAAAUUUCUCAGUGCUACCCAUGUAUUGAGUCCUCUGUUUACUGCGAAUGCUCAUCAAAUGACACUCGCGCUCAUUCAAAAAAGGUAAAACCUCAAACUUUGCUGGCAGCCCAAAGAACAACCACACAGACGCGCACACAGAUAUCAAUCCUUCUAUAAUGUAAAGCCAUCUCCAACCCUCGAGACCUCCACCGUUCUUAACUGAUGAAAGUCCUGUUGCUAUGAGUCCACCAAAAGCUCCAGAUAAUGCAGCGGAUCCAAAGAAGAAAGCAAUUCUUUUAGCCUGCUCUUGAGGCUUAUAGACAAUACUAAUAAUUAGUGUCAUUGCAGGGAAAAAGCCGCCUUCAAAAGUACCUAAAAGAACUCUUAGCGCCAAUAAAGAUUUAUGGGAUCGAACAAAACCCGAGCUCAGGGUUAUUAUCGACCAGGAAAACACCAAAAAGGACAUAUAGUACUUCACAUUGGCUCUUUUUAAAACUAAUACAGCUGGCAACUCAGCUGCCAGGUAAGUUGAAUAGAAAACAGAAACACAAUUGGAGUACUGUCUACUAGUGAGAUUUAAGUCCUCCUUCAUUCCAGAAGUGUAGGCGUUACCAAUAUUGGACCUAUCCAAUGACGACAGGAAAUACAUGAAUGCCAGCAUGGGCAGGAGCCGGAAAUCUAAUUUUUUGACAAGUGCCUUUUCCUCUUGCUCAUCAAUGUAUAAAUCUUCUACCAACUCCGAGUCCACAGCCACCGAGACGACACUUUCUUCACCAGCAUCCUUAACUUUCAUUUUAGAAAAAUCUUCUAAUGCAAUAACCUUCUGGAUAUUGUCAGAUUUAGGUAAACUGUCUGACAUUGUGUAAGCUCUUUUGUUCUUCUAAAGUGUAUUCGAUGAGUUUUCACUUCAAGAGCACCCCUUCUUUUAUAAUUUACCACCAUUUCCACUCCUAAUCUCAACAGCUACCAAGCCGUAGCAAUACGCUCGUGUCAUAUCAGUUUGUGCCGAUCUCUG